AACCGACCUUUUUAGGGACCCGAAACUUCCUGGAUUCGACUUGUAAUACAGCUCAUAAAAAAAUAGAUUUUCACGUAAAAUGUUCUGUAGUGUGCUGUAUAUUAUCUAUCCAGUUUAUUGAACUUUCUAUCUUGAAAAUCUGAAGUUCCAUUUUAGUUUUUUGCAUCCAAAUUUGAUGCCACUCAUGUGCAAGAAAGGGCAAGCAGUUUAUAAAAAUAGCUUGACAUUUAUUAUUGUAUCUUUACAAGUUGAUGUCUCUUUGGUUGGUAGUAGUGACUAAAGGAGUCCGGAUAGGGUGGGAGGUGGAGUGUCAGAAUGCCAGGUACCUUUACACGGCGUGUGUACUGUUCUGUGUUCACAACUCACGGUUCGGUAUGAACCCUCAAGGGGUGAGUCGUGAGGCUGCUUUGCAUGCAAUAAAAAAAUAUACAUAUUACUGAAAGAGCAGAUGCAUUUAAGAGGGCCAAAGAAUAUGUAAAGUAGAAAAUGAGAAUAUUCAAUAUAAUGAAAAAUUUGCUGAAAACUAGAUAUGUGUAUGAAAAGGACAAACUAAGGACUCCUGUUGCAGUCACUGUUCUGUGAGAUCCCAGAGAAAACAAGUUCAAAGAUAUAGAGAAGAAAUGAAAAAGGCUUACUCAUACAUGAGAAUUAACAAGCCACUGCUGAGGGCAAACAUGUUAUACAUUUACCUUCAUGUGAAAAUUCUUGUCCAUUACCUUCACUAUGAACUGUGAUUCCCAAACAUGGAGAAACAUUCCCCUAACAUAACUGUCAAUGUUUUGGAACUGCGUGUGUGUGUGUGUGUGUCUGUGUGUGUGUGUGUGUGUGUGUGUGUGUGUGUGUGUGUGUGUGUGUGUGUGUGUAAUUCACCACGGCCUGAUCACGUGUUGGACUCGUAAUCCAACACGUAAUCAGGCUGUGUGUAUUUACCGAGUUGUAGUUUUACAGGGCCUGGGCUUACGCUUGUGUGGUCCCGUCUCUGUAUCUGUAAUUUGUCCAACUUUUCCUUAAAGUUUUGCACACUCUUCACCAAUGCUACAUCCUCACUUAGGCUGUUCCAAACCUCUACGUUUCUUUGCAGGAAGCUAUAUUUCUUUGUCUCUCAAACAUCUUCCCUUCCUCAAUUUUUUACUGUGUCCUCUUGUGUUCCUGGUGUUUAUUCCUACUCAUAGCAGUAACUCCUCAUUAUCUACUUCUUCCAUUUUGCCCAAUAAUUUAUAAAUUUGUAUUUGGUCUCCUUUCUCUUCUUUGUUUCAGUGUUGGUAGGUCCAUUUCCUUUAAUCUUUCUUCAUAUGUCAAUCCCUCCAGUGUGUGUGUGUGUGUGUGAGCAUAAUUCACCACGGCCUGAUCAUGUGUUGGACUCGUAAUCGCCAGCAGGUACCCUCCCGACAUGAGCAAGUGCUCUUUAUCGUCAAUCUCUGGGUACUGCCAGGACCUAAUACACCACACACCCCAUCCCCCUUGCUCAAGGGGGGACAGUAACCACUCCUAGUCAACAGAAAGAAUCCGGCCUGAGUGGGCUCGAACCGCCGCCCUGUCAGACUGUGAAGUCUGGCAGCACAGCACUCUAACUAGUUGCACCACAGAGUGGUGUGUGUGUGUGUGUGUGUGUGUGUGUGUGUGUGUGUGUGUGUGUGUGUACCUAGUUAGAGCAUACAGGAUUUGAGCUACGCUUGUGUUGUCCUGCCACCAUAUCUGCUCUUGUACAACUUUGUUUUUUAAACUCUUAAUGUUCAUAGCUCUAAUUUGCUCCCCAUUAUACAUAAAUUCAGUAUUUUGUUAAUAGGUUCUCACAUUUGUUUGCAAGUGACAAGCCAAUACAGAUUCAGUGCUUGCAUGAACUGUCGUGCAAUAUCCCGAGUGUGACGCUGUUGUGAAUUGAUCCUGAGCAGUCACAGUAUCGUGUGGUCUGCAGUUUCACUGAGGCUCCUUUCACUCAAGCCCAUUCAUGACAGAAUCCCUACAUGAUAGUAAAGCAUUAGUUGUUCAAUGAGCCUGUUGACAUGGGACAAGUGCAUGUAUUUUUUUUGCCAAUGUCUGUAACUGCAUGCUUACACCACCCACCACAAAGCCUGUAAGAUAGACACAAUAUCUCUCUGGCCACUUAUACCUUGAGGACAUCAGCCAGUGCCACAUAGCCAGGUAACAGUUCUUGUACAGUGUGAUGUUCCUCUGCUUUUGGUGACGGUGUUGUGAUCAAGGUCAGUUGGCUUUGUUUGUGGCUGCCCACUGUUUUCUUUAGAAAGGGCUUGGCUGGUUGUCUCUUGCUUGUUCUAUAUCUGACUGUUACUGGUUGAGCAAGGCUCUGGUUCAAACCACGGAGAAGAACUAACAUCACACCAUAGUCCCACUUUGUGAAAGCAGCUUUUGAAGUGGAAUGAGUUCCUGUAUUUAAAGUGUCUCUGAGGUGUAGUUAGUGGUUACACGCCUAGCUACAGACCUACAAGCCUGGGCUUGAUCCCAGCCCAAGGCAGUCGGCACCACCUACCCGGCUGUUCAUUCCCCCUUUCAGGCUGCUCAAUACAUGGGUGCCUGGGUAAAGAAAACUGUGGUGGGUUUUUACCACAGGCUCAAGGGCCAAUGUUAAAAGGUGAGCACUGAGGUAACGUACAGCAAUGACGUAUGCACCACCAAACUUUACCAUUACCGAUGGUAUUUUCAGGCAUGAAAAAUGCUGCUUUGUUUAUUUACAAAAAUAGGUCAUGAAGAAUCACUGUUUUGAAAAGCUAAGUGAUUGUACAGUCUGUGGUUGCACUGGUCAUGAACGUAGAUUUAAAGAAAGGUCACAUAAAUAAAAUAUUGCAUAAAUUGAAUUUAUUAUUCCCUGAAGGAAUAAUUGUAAUAGUUGGUCACAUUCCAUGAGUGUGUAAAUGCAUAUAACAAAGAAUUUUAAGUUACUGAAACUUUUUGUGACAAGUGAUAGAAAAAGCAGCCAAAGUCUCCAUGACUGUGUCAGCCUGUCAUGCAUAGAGCACCUGUGCCAACACUUUGCUGCCUCAAAUGCUUCAUGAAAUCACCUCACUCAAACACCAACGCUUCAAAUUUCUGUCUUGAGGCUUACCAUUUUGUUAUCAUGCCUGGGAGCUUGGGGGUUUGCACUUUUCUUUGCUCUACAGUGGCUUGCUGUAGUGCACACACUGUUUUCUCAAAGAGCAAUACAGAUAGGUACAAUCAGCAUGUUUGAAGCAUGCAGAAUGCAAGAAUGAGAUGUGAAUAUCACAUCAGUCUUGUGUUCUCUCUGCUUCAAAUGUUUAUGAUGAGCACCAGUCUUUGAAUAAACAGUUUGGUAUUAUCUUAUUUGUACAAUGUGUUUAAUGUAAUUAGCUUUGAAUUUUGCUGCUAAUGGCAGAUCAGCAGGCGUGCAGCAGGACCUUAUGUCCGUGGUGAAUGACAGCCCUGCAUACACCAAAGUUGUGUCCUGUUAUUCAGGUGAACAGUAUUUUGGAUGAUUUGCACAACUGCAAAUUCACAUUAAUUAAACUUCCAUAAAACUGUAACUAAUUGAUAUGAAUAUAUCAAUGCUCAGUACAAUAUUAGAAGCAAGAAUGAAAUAAAAAGUGCCAAGGAGGAGAGAGAAAACUAGGCUAAGCAGUUCACUGUCCUCCCUCCAUUUUUCAGCUGCCCCCUCUGGGCCUCCAAGUCCCCCCCCUCCCCACAAUGAACCCCAUCCAGCCUCUUACCACACCCUAUGGCAUGCAUGACAGUGACACUACUCAUAGGGAUUUUUCUAUUUUUCAUUAUCAAAUGGUUACCUCAUUUGUUAAUACUGAUUUUAUUAAUGUGCCCAGACCAUUCCUUACCCAGCUAACUACUUUUGUGUUAUUAUCUGUCUUCUA